GAGAGAGAGAGUUAGGAAGAAGAUGGUGAAGUGGUUAGACUAGAUAUGGGACAGUUGCUGCUGCAUGUAAAAGCAGUGUGCAACCUAAGAAAAUGCAAAGUAGAUCCUCUCUGUCUUCAAACAGGUACCUGGGACUAGAGAAGACACUGAACCUGGUACCCAAAGAUGGCAACACUGGGGCAAGCUUUCAAGCUUCUCUGUCCCUCUCUCAUGUGUUAAGACUGGAGAAUCUUUUCC